UUCUGGAAAUCUUUAGAGCGAAUUCGAAAACGGUUUAUUUAUAAUUUUAAUUAGUCGAUUCUUAUGGAAAUAUCAAUGUAUGUACAUGGCAUAUGCAUAUGUAUGUGUAUGCAUGUGUGUGUAUAUAUUCUAGUCAGAAAUCGUUAAUGUCUGGGGCGUGCUACAAAUUCGGAUACAUUGUGCGCCAGAGGGUGGCCCAUUCAAGCCCACCCAAUUGGCUUUUGUCUCAAGUUUGCUUUCGAUAAUCUUUUUAUGGUUACACACCAAUUGGCAAUGGCCGUGGCAGUGGCAGCCGCGGGGGCAGAGGCGCCGCCAGAGACAGAUAAGAGUGUUGACGCCGGGCAAUAAAACCACCAAAAAUUAACGGACAAAGCAAAGUGGCUACAGUACUAAAUACAAACAUACGCACACACAAACACACACAUACAUCUGUUCAUAGAUAGCAAUUCGUGCGCAAUAAAAACAACAAAAAUGCAAAGGCAAGAGGCGCUAGAGGGAGACAGCUUGCAUUUGAAACAGAGCGCACAGAGGAGAUCCCAACUUACUUAAGCAUUAAAAAAACAAAGAUACCCAGCUGCGUCGAGUUUCCAAGAAGCAUUUAUGUAAGUGCUGAAUGUAGG